CGGUUCACCGAGAAAUGGGAGUGGCGAACGGGUGAGUAACACGUGGGUAACCUACCCAUCAGCGGGGGAUAACACUUGGAAACAGGUGCUAAUACCGCAUAAUUCUUUUCUUCGCCUGGAGGAAAGAUGAAAGACGCUUUUGCGUCACUGAUGGAUGGACCCGCGCUGCAUUAGCUAGUUGGUGGGGUAACGGCUCACCACGGCCACGAUGCAUAGCCGACCUGAGAGGGUGAUCGGCCACACUGGGACUGAGACACGGCCCAGACUCCUACGGGAGGCAGCAGUAGGGAAUCUUCGGCAAUGGACGGAAGUCUGACCGAGCAACGCCGCGUGAGUGAAGAAGGUUUUCGGAUCGUAAAACUCUGUUGUUAGAGAAGAACAAGGAUGAGAGUAGAAUGUUCAUCCCUUGACGGUAUCUAACCAGAAAGCCACGGCUAACUACGUGCCAGCAGCCGCGGUAAUACGUAGGUGGCAAGCGUUGUCCGGAUUUAUUGGGCGUAAAGCGAGCGCAGGCGGUUUCUUAAGUCUGAUGUGAAAGCCCCCGGCUUAACCGGGGAGGGUCAUUGGAAACUGGGAGACUUGAGUGCAGAAGAGGAGAGUGGAAUUCCAUGUGUAGCGGUGAAAUGCGUAGAUAUAUGGAGGAACACCAGUGGCGAAGGCGACUCUCUGGUCUGUAACUGACGCUGAGGC
rnacentral:rRNA from 1 species